UAUUCACCGCUGUGGUCCCAAAAGGCGAACAAAUUGUGGAAAAAAAAAAUCCGCCGGAAAGUCCCUGUCGGAUGCAGGGCGUCGACAGCGAAAGCAGUACGUGCGAGAAAAUUUUCUGCCUAGUUGUGAAGAAGAUCGGCGGUACCAAGUGGAGACGAAUAACCGGUUUUAGAAGUAGGUACAUCCGUACGAGUACCGGUAUUAGAACAACUUCCGUAACCACAAAUGCAACAUCCGCAAGACCCUAAAGAAGGGUCAAGGAAAAUAAUAAAUUUCUAAUCCGGCUGGCCGGUCGUCGUAAGGGAGCUGUAGGCCCUCAAGUCGGGACUGCAACUGGAUGGCCGAUUCGGAGGUCCACCAAUAGGUCCGAUGUCGAUGAUGCCUUGGCCAAUGCCACACAUGCGGGCAACGGUGAUGUCUCCACAUAUGCGAUUCCCUCUGAUGCGGCGCAACCCGAAUGGAAAGUUGCCUCCGGGCCGAAUGAAAAGUUCGGUCAAAUUCUUGACAUCGUCGCCUCGUCUUCAAGAAAAUCGCAAGAGCCACCAACGCAACGCGAACCAUGCAGGCUUCCCGUUCUAUGAACUACGAUUGCGCAUUAACCAGCUUGACAGCGACAGACCAAGAUCGACAGUGACGUGAUUGCCAAGACAAAUGAACAGCCGAAGGGCAUCCAAGCCGGUCCACCCGUAGGACAAGAAAUCUUGAAAGCAGAAUUCCGAUGCCGAUGAAGCGGCCAGUACUAUGAUGCCCAACCGGCAUGAUAUGCAUUUGUGAAAUUUACAACGGGGCCGCCUGCGAUGCAAGAGGGCUUCACGUUCACGCCGACGCAAGCGAUGAAAAUCUCGAUCAUCGAGAAGUAGGAAGGAGGCUUUAGAAUAAGUAUUUUAAACGUACGUAUUGAAAUGGUAUGCAUGUGACAGUACAUUAUGUAGGGUGACUAAGGGUAUUAUCGGCAUGUUUGUUCUCUUCGUCAAGGGGGGUUUUUGCAGGCCAAAUUUCUUGAAACUUGAUUGUACAAUUCAGCUUGGUUAGGAAAGAUUUGACGCCAACUUUGAGUUUAAUCGAUAUAAAAAGAUGACGAAGAAAUCAAAUCUGCCGGGAAUACGUCACUUUCCCUAUUUGGAUUCAAUAAACCAUGAAUAAUUGCACUUCUGCUUUCAUGGUUUAUUGGUGCGGCAGGGUGAAACUUCUUUUAGGAAGCAAAAUUUGUGGCAUUUUUUUAUGAAGUGAUUCCUCUAAUGAUUUCCCAAGGGAUUCCUCCGAGAAUUCUUACCGGGAUUUGUCCCAGUAUUCUUUAUAGUAUUUUCUCCUGAGUUUCAACUCAGAGCAAGAUUACACUAUUCCAACAUUUCUUCAGGAAUUUUUACAUUUCUCCUAGCAUUUCCAUAGGAAGUUCUUCAUGGAUUAUCUCCGGGAUAAAUAAGAGAUUAUUUCUUUUGAAAUUUGUAUUGUUAAUACUCCCGAAAUUCUUCCAAAGAUUUCUCCAGAAAUUCCUUUCAAAAAUUCUUCGCAAAAGAUUUCUAAAGGUAUUUCGAGCUUCAACUCUCUACUUACCAUGCUUGCUCUAGAGCUUCAUCGAUUUUCGACGAACUCGGGACAAACGGAAUAAAGAUAAAUAGGUAUGCAGCAAUAUUUUUGGAAAUAUUCAGGGUUCAUUCAAAUAUUACGUAACGCAAAAUUAGCCAGUUUUAGACCCCCUUCGUUUUCCACGUAACAACUUUCGUAUGGAAUUUAUUUUAUGAAGAGUAACGCAGCGCUGGACCCCCUCCCUCUCCUCUUAGCGUUACGUUAUAUUUAAACGAAUCCUCAUCUGUGUCGUCAUGCAUAUUGUGUAUUACCGUUGAUAAAAAAGAUUAUAUUUUUGCAAAUGCAAAUAAACGUCUUUUCCAAGUUCUUAUUUUGAUAAA